UGGAAGAAGCUGCCUGAAGUUGAGAACAUGCCAAACAUUAACCUUAAUAAUGCUGUGAACUCUCCAAAUGUAAACUAUAUCCACUGGCGAGUGCACGGGGACUGGGAUACUCAGCUGAACUACUACGAUUCUAUCAAAGCUGUCAUUUCAAGCUCCAACCACGAGCCCACUGCCCUAGUCAUAGGGUGCACUGUGGGAACAACAAAUGUCAAGCAAAAGAUGAAAGAGAUAAAGGAUGUUGGGAAAAAUGUCAAAGCAAGAAAAGACCAAGUAUUCCUCGGUUUGCCCCAAAGGCAAGAAGGAUGUGAUCAAACAGUUUUCUGCAUCCACAAAGGAGUCAAGGCAUUUACGUUCUGCAAGGGAAAGAAUUUGCUAUUCACAGGUGGAAUGGAUAGGAUAAUUAGAGUCUGGAAUCCUUAUCUGCCUGGAAAACCAACAGGUAUGCUGAGAAGCCACACAGCUCCAGUGAUUUACAUCCAUGUGUCUGCUGAGGAUAACGAGAUAUUUUCCAUGCCCACCGACAACACUAUUAAAGUCUUUGCCCUGUUAUGUUUCGAUGUGUUAUCCAACGUGGUUUUAGACAGAGAAGGUGUUCCUUUCAUGUUUUUGUUCCUCUCUCUGGAGCCUUUGGGGCCUCUGAUUAGCAGAUGGCAUUUGCUUCCAUGGAUCUGCUUUUGAAAUGGAGAAUAGGCGAGCAGGCGAAGGGCAGCCUCUCCGAGAACUUUCUAUACCUGCUGUUUUGUUGGGAUGAGUAAACAUUAUAGCACUGAGUCCUCUGCUUAUAUCCCAUCCAGAGAUUCCUUGUGAGAAUGCAGGUUGGGGAGAGGGGGAACUGGGGACAGAACUGGGACAGAAGGAGUCAGCAGUCCUUUGCCACUAGAGGUAAUCAUCUUAUCUUGCAGUACUCAUAGAGCAAGUGGGCCCUUUCUGAAAUGCUUUCUCUAAGGCUUAGAAUUUAAACCUUUCUGGCCCUGGCAGAGGUAGCAACAUCCCUACCUUCAUUUUGUUUGCCUUCAUACCUCUUUUAAUACCCAGGGUCCUGUCUGCCUCUAAAGCCCAGUCACUCUAAUAUCUCUGGAAUACACUAUUUUUUCAAUUAAAAAAGAAGAAAAGCCUCACUGAUUUGUUUCAUCCAUCACCUCAUGUGCUUUUCCAGUGAAUAUGACAAGUUUCCAUGGC